rnacentral:rRNA from 1 species
AAAAGGGGUACAGCCCUUUUAACAAAGGAUACAACCUUCACAGGAGGAUAAAGAUCAUAAUAUAUAAGAUAUACUGUCCUAGUGGGCCUGAAAGCAGCCACCUAAGCAGAAAGCGUUAAAGCUCGGACAGAGAGAAGUUUAUUAUACUGAUAAGAAAUCUUAUUCCCCUAACUGUAUCAGGCCAACCCAUGCCCCCAUGGAAGAGAUUAUGCUAAAAUGAGUAAUAAGAAGACACGCUCUUCUCCCGGCACACGUGUAAACCAGAUCGGACUGACCACUGGAACUUAACGAACCCAACCCAAGAGGGUAGUGUGAUUAAUAUAAACCUCAAGAAGACCUCACACCAACUGAUCGUUAACCCCACACUGGAGUGCUAUUUCAAGGGAAAGACUAAAAGAGGAGGAAGGAACUCGGCAAACACAAGCCUCGCCUGUUUACCAAAAA